rnacentral:misc_RNA from 1 species
AACGCACCUUGCGCCCUUUGGCUAUUCCGAAGGGCAUGCCUGUUUGAGUAUCAUGAACACCUCAACUCUCAUGGUUUGCCGUGAUGAGCUUGGACUUUGGGGGUCUUGCUGCUUAUGGUCAGCUCCUCUUAAACGAAUCAGCUUGCCAGUGUUUGGUGGCAUCGCAGGUGUGAUAACUAUCUACGCUUGUGGUUUUCCAUCAGGUAACCUUCAGUGAUGGAGGUUCGCUGGGGCUCAUAAAGGUCUCUCCUCAGCGAGGACAGCUUUUUGAACGUUUGAUCUCAAAUCAGGUAGGACUACCCGCUGAACUUAA